CCUAAAUAUGAGUCGUCAUCCACGCGCAGCAGCUAAACCGCGAUCUCUCGAACUCUUGAGGGGCGUUUCCACUUCUUGUUUGAGGGGCGUUUCCACUUCUUGUUAGAGGCGGCUUCUUUCUCGUUGGAUGAGCUGGUUGAUAUUUUGAACGUGCCAGUGGCCUUGAUGAUAGCCGACUCGGCGUGCUCCAAGAGCCACCGGAUGGUCUUGCCGUCGAACUUGUGGUCGAUCUCUUGGGUCAGCUGGAAGAUCCGGGCGACGCAGGCGUUGGUCUACGGCAUUGGUCUCUCCGAGGAGAGACAUGGCCAAGCUGCAGGUCGGCGUCUCCUUGGUCUGGUGCGAGGGCAACCGUUGUGUGACGACGGACAACUCUUCUCUGCCAUGGUGGUUCGCAAGCCGUUGGGCACUGAAUUGUUAACAAAGGCAAACUUCAAUUGGGUCCGAUGUUUUGGGCGAUGAUGAUAUCAGAGCAGAAGGUGGCUCAUUUGGCAUUGAAGCCGUUGGGGAGGAACAAUGCAAUUGAUGGAACGUGUGGAGUUGGAACGAAAGAACCCCAGCUUAUUUUCGCUUCUGCAGACAGUGAGGAAAUUGUUGAUGAUUAAACUUACUUUUAAAUUAGCAAGAUAUAUAGCUUUUCUUUUCUUUCUGUUUGGUCCCUACUUAAUUAUGAUUUUAAUUUAUUUGGGCUUAGAACAAGUUUAUUAAUUGUUUGGGCUUACAAAUGUGCCCGUUACAAAUACCAAGUGAGCAAUCUAUUUCCCAAAACUGUUUGAGCUAUAUUUACAACAAUAAUUUGCAUCAUACAUGCGUACUCCCAUGAUAAGGUUAUUACUUUAAUAUCUGAAAAUUAAAUUUAUUAUUUUCUAAUUAUUUACUUUGAAGAUUUAGUCAUCAUGAAGAGUGAUUUUGAAAGUUUGUUUCCCUACAUGAUUGAUUGAUUGUGUUCGAUGUUGCUUUCAUAAUGAAGUCCAAUUCUAUCACAUUGUUGACUUAUCACUUCAAGAACAAGUGAAACUAUAUGCAGGUGAAAGCAUAGCUUCAAGUUGACACAUCACAUAGAGGAACUGAGGAACAUAUAAUGGGUUUCUCUGUUUUACACCUUAUUUCAUUGUUGCUUCUUUGGUAUUUUUUGCUUGUGCCAGUUAUGCUUAUAAAUUUCAGUGGUUUUUUAAGUUUUGUCUUUUCUUUGUUGCAGUCUUAUAUUGUAUACUUAGGAUCACAUUCUCAUGGCCCAAACCCUUCAGCAAGUGAUCUUGAGUCUGCAACGAAUUCCCAUUACAAAUUAUUAGGCUCACACUUGGGGAAGGAGUGGAAUGCUUCGGGGCCUAUGCACGUGGAUUUGCUAGAGGGUGCCUUGCAACGCCAAACAUCAGUUGAACUCCAAACUAAUCUCUGGUCUCCCUGGCUUUCCAAGGAUGGAAGUCUUGUACUGAGCGUCCAAAACCACCUUGUGAGUUCAAAUUGAAUAUUGAAUUUCAUUUUCUUUUACACAUUGGACAUUUAUUUCUCAAGAAAACGAGGGCUCUGUUAUCUGUUGGUAGUGUCUGGUAUUUUACAUGUUUCUUUUUACUUAUAAUUUCUUGCAGCACUACCUGAAAAGUCAUGGGGUUAUAUCCCAGGGCUAUAGCUCUCCCUGGUAUUUUACAUGUUUCUUUUUACUUAUAAUUUCUUGUUGAUGAUGGGCAUACAGAGUAAAUAUUUUAUAUUAUUAUUUGAUCAUCAAUUAUCAGUAUGUUAAGAUCGUUAUUUUUUUGCA